rnacentral:rRNA from 1 species
CUACCACGGCAGUCACGGGUAACGGAGAAUUAGGGUUCGAUUCCGGAGAGGGAGCCUGAGAAACGGCUACCACAUCUACGGAAGGCAGCAGGCGCGCAAAUUGCCCAAUCCCGACACGGGGAGGCAGUGACAAGAAAUAACAACUCUAGGUUUUCUUAGAAGUGUAAUGAGGAUAAUUUACAAACCUUACCAAAUGCAAUUGGAGGGCAAGUCUGGUGCCAGCAGCCGCGGUAAUUCCAGCUCCAAUAGCGUAUAUUAAAGUUGUUGCAGUUAAAAAGCUCGUAGUUGGAAAUCUGAUUGCUCAGGUCUCCAGCCUUUAGGCGGGGAUUCUGACAGUCAUCCGCUUGCAAACAUAUGUUCGAUCUUCACCGGUUGGCUAUGUGAGUAAGCACUUUACCUUGAGAAAAACAGAGUGUUCCAGGCAGGUUUGUCCGGAAUGCAUUAGCAUGGAAUAAUAGAACAUGACUGAAGUCUAUUUAUUGGUUAAAGGCUUUAGUAAUGAUUAAUAGGAACAGUCGGGGGCAUUCGUACUCAGCAGUCAGAGGUGAAAUUCUAAGAUUUGCUGAAGACGAACUAAUGCGAAAGCAUUUGCCAAGGAUGUUUUCAUUAAUCAAGAAUGAAAGUUAGGGGAUC